CAUACAGAAGUGGCAGAAGGGUAAGGAGGUCUUGAAGGAGCACAGUCACUAGCCUGAAGGGUAAGGAGGUCUUGAAGGAGCACAGUCACUAGCCUGAAGGGUAAGGAGGUCUUGAAGGAGCACAGUCACUAGCCUGAAGGGUAAGGAGGUCUUGAAGGAGCACAGUCACUAGCCUCUUGGUGCCAGGUGUGGAGCAAGUACUGGGACUGCUUGUCCUUGAGUGCUCACUGUCACUGAUGACUUUGGUAUGUCUUAUUUAUAUUUAUUUAUUCAUUUAUUUUUGGGUUGUUUUUUUUUAAACAGGUGUUCUCUGUCUCCCUAGCUGACCUGAAACUUGCUCUGUAGACCAGGCUGUCCUCGAACUCAGAGAUUUGCCUGCCUCUGCCUCCUGGGUGUUGGAACUAAAGGUGUGCGCCAUCACUGCUGGGCAGUUAUGUCUUCUUUAAUACAUCAACCAUGUGAGAUCUAUAUUGUGUUGCUCCCUUUCUGGAAAUAAGAUUAACAGGCUGCCCGAGGCCUGGUAGAUUUCUCUGUCUUGAUUUUUCCCACCUAUAAAGUAGUGGUAAUAAUAGCACCUUCGUAGUUUUAUUAUGAAGACUCAGAGGAGGCACUUUAUACAAUGCUCAGGCACAUAGUGAGAAUUGUAUAAAUGCUGGCUGUUCAUACAUAUUACUCUGUUGGAAUCUAGAGUCCUAGUUCUGUUUCUUCUCUUGUUUUAACCUGUACUCAGGAAAUAAGGAAUUAAGUUACAGGUGCCAACUACUUUCCAAAAAAAAAAAAAAAA
rnacentral:lncRNA from 1 species